UACAGAGGGUCCGAGCGUUAAUCGGAAUUACUGGGCGUAAAGCGCGCGUAGGCGGCUUUGCAAGUCGGGUGUGAAAUCCCCAGGCUUAACCUGGGAACUGCAUUCGAGACUGCAUUGCUAGAGUAUGGGAGAGGGAAGUGGAAUUUCCGGUGUAGCGGUGAAAUGCGUAGAUAUCGGAAGGAACAUCAGUGGCGAAAGCGACUUCCUGGACCAAUACUGACGCUCAUGUGCGAAAGCGUGGGGAGCAAACAGG
rnacentral:rRNA from 1 species